CACGUAAGAAUUUGCCUCUAGGAGGGGGACAACAGCUGGAAACGGCUGCUAAUACCCCACUAUGCUUUCGAGUGAAAUGGAUUUUUCCGUCCUAGAGAGAAGCUUGCGGCUGAUUAGCUUGUUGGUGAGGUAAUGGCUUACCAAGGCGACGAUCAGUAUCUGGUUUGAGAGGAUGAUCAGACACACUGGAACUGAGACACGGUCCAGACUCCUGCGGGAGGCAGCAGUGGGGAAGUUUUCCGCAAUGGGCGAAAGCCUGACGGAGCAAUCUCGCGUGAGGGAUGACUGCCUAUGGGUUGU
rnacentral:rRNA from 1 species